UGGGGAAUAUUGGACAAUGGGGGAAACCCUGAUCCAGCGACGCCGCGUGUGUGAAGAAGGCCUGCGGGUUGUAAAGCACUUUUAGUGGGGAUGAAAUGUGCAGGGUUAAUACCUCUGCAUUUUGACCUAACCCACAGAAAAAGCACCGGCUAACUCUGUGCCAGCAGCCGCGGUAAUACAGAGGGUGCAAGCGUUAAUCGGAAUUACUGGGCGUAAAGCGUGCGUAGACGGUUACAUAAGUCGGGUGUGAAAGCCCCGGGCUCAACCUGGGAAUUGCAUUCGAGACUGCGUAGCUAGGGUGCGGAAGAGGGAAGCGGAAUUUCCGGUGUAGCGGUGAAAUGCGUAGAUAUCGGAAGGAACACCAGUGGCGAAAGCGGCUUCCUGGUCCAGCACCGACGUUCAGGCACGAAAGCGUGGGGAGCAAACAG
rnacentral:rRNA from 1 species